UUGUUUAGUUCUUUUACUGCUCUUCUUGUCAUUAGAUUCUAGAUGUUGUAUACUAUGAUAUCUCUAAUUACUCGUUAUACUUGUUUUAUUUAUCGCUUUAUUCUAGAUGUCUUAGAUAUUGUUGGCAUAUGGCGGGUCUGGACACGCACCGGGCAGGCCUCCGCUGGGUCCCGGGGCGUGACAGGGCGAAGAUGAUGACGGUGGCAUAGAUCUUAACGGCCGGCGGAUUUGAUUUGAUAUUUUCGAAAGAUGUUGAAAGGUCCGAAGAAACGGGGAAUCAAAGAUUCCCUUUCCCUCUUUUUUCAAAAAUAUCAAACCGGCGAUGCUGGAGAUGACGUCGAUGAAGAUGAUGACGGUGGCGCGGAUCUGUUCGGCCGUCGGAUUUGAUUUGACAUUUUCGAAAGAUGUUGAAUGGUCCGAAGAAACGGAGAAUUGAAGAUUCCUCUCUCCUCUUCUUUCGAAAAUAUUGAACCG
rnacentral:lncRNA from 1 species